GUCGUGAACUGACUGUAGUCUCUUGUUUUUACAUAAGGUAUAGCCUGUGGCUCAGGGAUCAGAGGUGCUUUACACUUGUCCUCUCCCAGCAUUCAGCACUUCAGACACUCAACGUCCAGGACGGAGCUAACACAGAGAGAUGCCCCACCCAGAAGACAGCCUUACCCCAACCCGAUGAGAAGGAUGGAUGACCAAAUGACAAACUGGAGAGUGGUGCUGUGUUCCAGCUAUGGCAGCUGAGAGUGGACAGAGCUGCACAGAGGACCAAAGAUCCACUCUCAGCACUUCAUACCUGACUGGCCACAGCACCA